UACGUAGGGGGCGAGCGUUGUCCGGAUUUAUUGGGCGUAAAGAGCUCGUAGGCGGCUCGGUAAGUGAGGUGUGAAAACUCCAGGCUCAACCUGGAGACGCCACCUCAUACUGGCGUGGCUAGAGUCCGGUAGGGGAGCAUGGAAUUCCUGGUGUAGCGGUGAAAUGCGCAGAUAUCAGGGGGAACACCAGUGGCGAAGGCGGUGCUCUGGGCCGGAACUGACGCUGAGGAGCGAAAGCGUGGGGAGCGAACAGG
rnacentral:rRNA from 1 species